rnacentral:lncRNA from 1 species
UGACCACUGACCAGAGUGAUGGGGGCACGGCUGGCCCUUGGCGUCAUCACCUCUGUGUUUUCACCCACUGAGCAAAUAUACACUAAAUGAAGCACAAAUGAGCACGGCCAAAGGAACGGUCAAUUCUGUCCUUUCUUCUUAAUCCCUUUGGCUUAGGGUUUCCCGGCCUGGACAGCCUGUCCGAGGGGAAGGCUGCCCAAGGGCACACGGGCAUCCGUCCGGGGACAUUCAGGCAGUGACCAAUCCCCAGCCACCCUGGCAUGUGCCCUGCACUGUGGGCCUUUUCCCAGCCGGCCGGUGGGGGAGCAGCCACUGUGGGUCCCCGAGUCUUGGUGAGACAGUCAAGGAUGGACCUGGGGUGGGGACCGGUGUGCAGCCGUGUCCCUGGGGAAGGAGCAGCACAGGCUGGGACAGAGGACCUCUGAACUGUCCCCUUGGCCACGCUAUGGAAAGCCACGCUCUCCCCCCAGCUCCCGCAGCUGGGACCCGGAGACCACCCAGGGCCGGAGUCCAGAAUGACCACCAUUGCAUCUCGGCCCUCCAGCUCGGGACAGGAGCUGGGGAGCAGAGGCUGGCCCCAACCUGAGGCCCCCUGAACCCAGAGCACGCCCCUCUGCACAGAGGACCUCCUGUUGGAUGCGUGAGCUGCUGCCUGGCCCACUUGCAGCCUGACUGGCCUUUUGGGGUAAGCAGACCUCACUGGGAAAGAGCCCGUGUGUCCCUCACCUGACCCCCCGGCCCCCAACCCACUGGGCUGGGAGCUUUGACUUAAGCAAAUCAGUAGCACCUAUACCCUGCCUCCUCCCACAUGGGUCUUGAGCUCCACACCAACGCUUUGUAUUUUUCCUGGGCUUUCUCCAGGCAUCCUCCAGCCCCAACCUGGUGGAGAGGGCGUGAUGGCACUGGCAUCCCAUCAUACAGGAGGAUGGCAGUUCAGAGAGAAGAGGGGGCCUCUGGUCCACGCUGGACCAGAGGGGGUCAGGCCCUCCUCACCCUGAGGGGCGUGCCAGACACUACCCAGGUCCAGUGAGG